rnacentral:rRNA from 1 species
GACGAACGCUGGCGGCGUGCUUAACACAUGCAAGUCGAACGGAAAGGCCCUGCUUUUGUGGGGUGCUCGAGUGGCGAACGGGUGAGUAACACGUGAGUAACCUGCCCUUGACUUUGGGAUAACUUCAGGAAACUGGGGCUAAUACCGGAUAGGAGCUCCUGCUGCAUGGUGGGGGUUGGAAAGUUUCGGCGGUUGGGGAUGGACUCGCGGCUUAUCAGCUUGUUGGUGGGGUAGUGGCUUACCAAGGCUUUGACGGGUAGCCGGCCUGAGAGGGUGACCGGCCACAUUGGGACUGAGAUACGGCCCAGACUCCUACGGGAGGCAGCAGUGGGGAAUAUUGCACAAUGGGCGGAAGCCUGAUGCAGCAACGCCGCGUGCGGGAUGACGGCCUUCGGGUUGUAAACCGCUUUCGCCUGUGACGAAGCGUGAGUGACGGUAAUGGGUAAAGAAGCACCGGCUAACUACGUGCCAGCAGCCGCGGUGAUACGUAGGGUGCGAGCGUUGUCCGGAUUUAUUGGGCGUAAAGGGCUCGUAGGUGGUUGAUCGCGUCGGAAGUGUAAUCUUGGGGCUUAACCCUGAGCGUGCUUUCGAUACGGGUUGACUUGAGGAAGGUAGGGGAGAAUGGAAUUCCUGGUGGAGCGGUGGAAUGCGCAGAUAUCAGGAGGAACACCAGUGGCGAAGGCGGUUCUCUGGGCCUUUCCUGACGCUGAGGAGCGAAAGCGUGGGGAGCGAACAGGCUUAGAUACCCUGGUAGUCCACGCUGUAAACGGUGGGUACUAGGUGUGGGGUCCAUUCCACGGGUUCCGUGCCGUAGCUAACGCUUUAAGUACCCCGCCUGGGGAGUACGGCCGCAAGGCUAAAACUCAAAGGAAUUGACGGGGCCCCGCACAAGCGGCGGAGCAUGCGGAUUAAUUCGAUGCAACGCGUAGAACCUUACCUGGGUUUGACAUGGAUCGGGAGUGCUCAGAGAUGGGUGUGCCUCUUUUGGGGUCGGUUCACAGGUGGUGCAUGCCUGUCGUCAGCUUGUGUCGUGAGAUGUUGGGUUAAGUCCCGCAACGAGCGCAACCCUUGUUCACUGUUGCCAGCACGUUAUGGUGGGGACUCAGUGGAGACCGCCGGGGUCAACUCGGAGGAAGGUGGGGAUGACGUCAAGUCAUCAUGCCCCUUAUGUCCAGGGCUUCACGCAUGCUACAAUGGCUGGUACAGAGAGUGGCGAGCCUGUGAGGGUGAGCGAAUCUCGGAAAGCCGGUCUCAGUUCGGAUUGGGGUCUGCAACUCGACCUCAUGAAGUCGGAGUCGCUAGUAAUCGCAGAUCAGCAACGCUGCGGUGAAAACGUUCCCGGG